rnacentral:rRNA from 1 species
GAAGUAANAGUCGUAACNAGGUUUCCGUAGGUGAACCUGCGGAAGGAUCAUUAUNGAAAUAAACCNGAGCAGGCUGUUUGCUGGUCCUCCAUGUGGGGACAUGUGCACGCUUGUCGUNUUUAUUUUUCCAACUGUGCACAUAUUGUAGACCUGGAGCUUUCUUAUCGUUUGAAUAGAUUGAGGACUGCCAUGUAAUGUGGCUUUGCCUUGUAUUUCCAGGUCUAUGUUGUAAUACAUUUUCACAACGUGUUUCAGAAUGUCGAGUACUGGGGAUAACAAAUAUACAACUUUCAGCAACGGAUCUCUUGGCUCUCGCAUCGAUGAAGAACGCAGCGAAAUGCGAUAAGUAAUGUGAAUUGCAGAAUUCAGUGAAUCAUCGAAUCUUUGAACGCAUCUUGCGCUCCUUGGUAUUCCGAGGAGCAUGCCUGUUUGAGUGUCAUCAAAAAUUCUCAACCAUGCUGGUUCUUCUGGCGUGGCUUGGAUUUGGGGGUCUUGCAGGCUUAAAGUCGGCUCCCCUGAAAAGGAUUAGCGGUAUCUGAGCAGACACGGCGUGAUAAUUAUCUAUGCUGUUGGCAUGCGCAAGAAUCCUGCUUCUAAACCGAGUGUUGACAAAUUUGACCUCAAAUCAGGNAGGACUACCCGCUGAACUUAAGCAUAUCAAUAAGCGGANGAAAAGAAACUAACNAGGAUUCCCCUAGUNACUGCGAGUGAAGCGGGAAAAGCUCAAAUUUAAAAUCUGGNGGUUCUUGACCGUCCGAGUUGUAAUCUAGAGAAGUGNUACCUGU